rnacentral:misc_RNA from 1 species
AAGGAGAAGGGAGAGUAGGG